UACGAAGGGUGCAAACGUUGCUCGGAAUUAUUGGGCGUAAAGCGCACGUAGGCGGCUUGGCAAGUCGGAUGUGAAAUCCCUCGGCUCAACCAAGGAAGUGCAUCCGAAACUGCCGAGCUUGAGUACUUAAGAGGAUCGCGGAAUUCCCGGUGUAGAGGUGAAAUUCGUAGAUAUCGGGAGGAACACCAAUGGCGAAGGCAGCUCGCUGGGACGUGACUGACGCUGAGACGCGAAAGCGUGGGGAGCAACAGG
rnacentral:rRNA from 1 species